UUGGAGGGCAAGUCUGGUGCCAGCAGCCGCGGUAAUUCCAGCUCCAAUAGCGUAUAUUAAAGUUGUUGCAGUUAAAAAGCUCGUAGUUGAAUUUCGGGAUCGAUGGGUCGGUCAUGCCCUCGGUAUGUACUGAUCCCAUUGGUUCUCACCUUCUAAGGAACCAUGAUGUCAUUCGGUUGAUGUUGUGGGGAAUUAGGACUGUUACCUUGAAAAAAUUAGAGUGUUUAAAGCAAGCUUACGCUUGAAUACAUUAGCAUGGAAUAAUGAAAUAGGACAUCAGAUUCUAUUUUGUUGGUUUCUAGGAUCGAUGUAAUGAUUAAUAGGGAUAGUUGGGGGCAUUAGUAUUCAAUUGUCAGAGGUGAAAUUCUUGGAUUUAUUGAAGACUAACUACUGCGAAAGCAUUUGCCAAGGAUGUUUUCAUUAAUCAAGAACGAAAGUUAGGGGAUCGAAGACGAUCAGAUACCGUCGUAGUCUUAACCAUAAACUAUGCCGACUAGGGAUCGGAUGAUGUUAAUUUUUUAAUGACUCAUUCGGCGCCUUACGGGAAAC
rnacentral:rRNA from 1 species